UACAGAGGGUGCGAGCGUUGUCCGGAAUCACUGGGCGUAAAGGGCGCGUAGGCGGUCUGGUAAGCGUGUGGUGAAAGCUCGGGGCUCAACCCCGAGUCGGCCCGUGCGAACUGCGAGACUGGAGCAGAUCAGAGGCAGGCGGAAUUCCGGGUGUAGCGGUGGAAUGCGUAGAGAUCCGGAAGAACACCGGUGGCGAAGGCGGCCUGCUGGGAUCUUGCUGACGCUGAGGCGCGACAGCGUGGGGAGCAAACAGG
rnacentral:rRNA from 1 species